UGGGCGUUAAGUUGCAGGGUAUAGACCCGAAACCCGGUGAUCUAGCCAUGGGCAGGUUGAAGGUUGGGUAACACUAACUGGAGGACCGAACCGACUAAUGUUGAAAAAUUAGCGGAUGACCUGUGGCUGGGGGUGAAAGGCCAAUCAAACCGGGAGAUAGCUGGUUCUCCCCGAAAGCUAUUUAGGUAGCGCCUCGUGAAUUCAUCUCCGGGGGUAGAGCACUGUUUCGGCUAGGGGGCCAUCCCGGCUUACCAACCCGAUGCAAACUGCGAAUACCGGAGAAUGUUAUCACGGGAGACACACGGCGGGUGCUAACGUCCGUCGUGAAGAGGGAAACAACCCAGACCGCCAGCUAAGGUCCCAAAGUCAUGGUUAAGUGGGAAACGAUGUGGGAAGGCCCAGACAGCCAGGAUGUUGGCUUAGAAGCAGCCAUCAUUUAAAGAAAGCGUAAUAGCUCACUGGUCGAGUCGGCCUGCGCGGAAGAUGUAACGGGGCUAAACCAUGCACCGAAGCUGCGGCAGCGACGCUUAUGCGU
rnacentral:rRNA from 2 species